rnacentral:snoRNA from 1 species
GUGAUGAGGGGAUGUAUUUGCGAUUAGUGAGCAAGUCCUCGAUCGCUGA